AUAUAUAUACUUAAUCACUAACAGAAUUACAGAAACUAAUCACAAUUUGCAAUCAUUCACCAAAUCUAACAGAAAUUCUCUCAUCUCUCUCAUUUUUGCUCUAACCUCCAUAACAUCUUUUUGAUCAUCUUCACCAAGAUUCCAUGGAUUUUGUGCGAAUUUUCUGUUGAGUUACAAUUUGCAGGUACUACUGAGCUUCUGUUGAGCAAGAUCAAAGCGAAAUCGUGACCGAAUCAAGCUGCUGCGAAACUUGCGUCUUCAAUGGCAGUCGACGGUUCUUGAUGAUUCGUGCAUCCCUGAGCUAAAAGAACAUCACUACCGCACUUCUUGAUCAACAUACUCGAUCUGUUUCACUGAAUUGGGACUCAACACAUCCGGAAUCCAUCACUGCUCAUCAAGAAGGUCAAGUUUCGAUUAUCACCAUUUGCUAAAUUGUAUUGUGGAUAUUGUAGAUUGUAGCUCAUAGAUCAUGUAGCAGCUUGUGGAUUGUAAUUCCAUUACGAAUUGACCGAGA
rnacentral:lncRNA from 1 species